rnacentral:rRNA from 1 species
GACGAACGCUGGCGGCGUGCCUAAUACAUGCAAGUCGAACGAACCGCGACUGAGUGCUUGCACUUGGUCAAGGUGAGUGGCGAACGGGUGAGUAACACGUGGGUAACCUACCUCAUAGUGGGGGAUAACAGUCGGAAACGACUGCUAAUACCGCAUAGGACAUGGAAUCACAUGAUUCUGUGAGGAAAGGUGGCGCAAGCUAUCGCUAAGAGAUGGACCCGCGGUGCAUUAGCUAGUUGGUAGGGUAAGGGCCUACCAAGGCGAUGAUGCAUAGCCGACCUGAGAGGGUGAUCGGCCACAUUGGGACUGAGACACGGCCCAAGCUCCUACGGGAGGCAGCAGUAGGGAAUCUUCCGCAAUGGACGCAAGUCUGACGGAGCAACGCCGCGUGAGUGAAGAAGGUCUUCGGAUCGUAAAGCUCUGUUGUUAGAGAAGAACAGCGCAUAGAGUAACUGUUAUGCGUGUGACGGUAUCUAACCAGAAAGCCACGGCUAACUACGUG